ACGAGAGUUUUGGGGAUUGCACGGAUCGCAGGAUGGGAAGGGGGGAAACAAAGAGCCAGCCGAAAAAAAAAACCCUCCCCUUGGAACGAUAUACAGAAGAGGAGGGUGAAAAGGGAGUGGGGUGGGGGUCGCAAUUGAAAAACAGCAACAACAACACAGCCACCUCUCUCCAUCUUGGAACUCGGAGAUGUAAUCAGGGAAGAUGCAUGGAGGAUUUCUGGCGCAGCCAAAGAGAGAAAGAGGGCCGGAGGGAUCUGCUAAGUAAAAGAUCCCGCUUUUUGAAGGAUUCCUGAGGCUGCAUAUAUGAUGGAACAAGAGAAGGAAUGCCGAACUCCGGCUCUCCAGGAUUUUGAGAAUAAGACUUCCCCAGAGGCCCACUCAGGGUAUCAUAUUCUGACAGUAAAAGAGGAGGAGGAGGAGGAA